rnacentral:piRNA from 1 species
UGCCUUUGUGUGAUCUCAAGAUUCGAUC